GAGAAUACCGGCUGAACUUAAGCAUAUCACUAAGCCGAGGAAAAGAAACUAACAAGGAUACCCUAAGUAACGGCGAGUGAACCGGGUAAUGCUCAAUCUUAAAAUCUGUGUCUCUCAUGAGGCAUCGAAUUGUAGUUUUUGAUAAUCAUCCCCUCUUCUUUUAAUUUAAUUAAAGUCUCUUGGAAUAGAGUGUCAUAGAAGGUGAGAACCCUGUGAAUAGUUAUAUUAAAAGGAGGAUAUUGAGUUUGGUUAUCAUAGAGUCGGGUUGUUUGGGAAUGCAGCCUAAAAAGGGUGGUAAAUCUCAUCUAAAGCUAAAUAUUUGGUAAGAGACCGAUAGAAAACAAGUACCGUGAGGGAAAGAUGAAAAGAACUUUGAAAAGAGAGUUAAAAGUACUUGAAAUUGUUAAC
rnacentral:rRNA from 1 species